UACAGAGGUCCCGAGCGUUGUUCGGAUUCAUUGGGCGUAAAGGGUGCGUAGGCGGCUUCCUAAGUUUGAUGUGAAAUCCUGGGGCUCAACCCUGGAACUGCAUUGAAUACUGGGAGGCUAGAGUACUGGAGAGGAAACUGGAAUUUACGGUGUAGCAGUGAAAUGCGUAGAGAUCGUAAGGAAGACCAGUGGCGAAGGCGAGUUUCUGGACAGUUACUGACGCUGAGGCACGAAGGCCAGGGGAGCAAAACGGG
rnacentral:rRNA from 1 species